rnacentral:lncRNA from 1 species
UGUUGAAAUGUUAUGUGAUCGGUUAGUUUAUAUGGAUUAAUAGCGUGGAUAGUUGUAUGGUUUGAAUAAUAGUUACAUUGAUAAGUGUAUAGUCUUUGGUGGUUUUUUUUGAUUUAAUUUCGUGUGUGCGACGUCGUGAUAUUGUUGAGCAUGUGAGGAUCCUGUGUGUGUGUUUGGGCCUAGUGACUGCGCAAUGUGUUGCUGGUGAUAAGGAGAUUGGUGUGACUGUUGAAACUGUG